rnacentral:sRNA from 1 species
AGGAAGGAGAAGUCGUAACAAGGUUUCCGUAGGUGAACCUGCGGAAGGAUCAUUGUCGAAAGAGCGACCGUUGGACACGUAUAUCUUCACGGGGGUGGAUGGGUGCAUGCGCUGUGCCCUUCCCCCCUUCAAGUCGGGUGGGGACGGAUGGGUGGUGCCGGCCUCGUUGGGGUGCGGUUCCCCUCCCCUCCGUGCUCGGCCCGUACUAACAACCAAACUCCGGCGCGAGAAGCGCCAAGGAAAUUGUACCGACCGCGCGUGCCCACUAUGGCCCCGGAGACGGUGUGCCGAUUGGGCCCGCGCUGGACAUUUUUGUCGUGUAAACUUAACGACUCUCGGCAACGGAUAUCUCGGCUCUCGCAUCGAUGAAGAACGUAGCGAAAUGCGAUACUUGGUGUGAAUUGCAGAAUCCCGUGAACCAUCGAGUCUUUGAACGCAAGUUGCGCCCGACGCCUUCUGGCCGAGGGCACGUCUGCCUGGGUGUCACGCAUCGUCGCCCUCCCCCGCCUUCGCCUCAUCUCUUGGGGCGAGGAGUUGGGGGGGCGGAUGUUGGUCUCCCGUGUGCCUUGGCAUGCGGCUGGCUGAAAAUCACAGGACCACGGUGCACAACGCCGCGUCGCAUGGUGGAUGAGGUAAUCUCUAAGACCGGACGCGUGCGUCGCCGUUGCCUGACAGGACCCACUGCGCUGCGAUGCAGUGCCCUCCGACGCGACCCCAGGUCAGGCGGGACC